rnacentral:lncRNA from 1 species
UUCCCAAAUUUUUUCCCUCCGUCUCUUUAUUUCUCUCCUGCUAUGUACGUUUUAAAAUUUGAAUGGGACCGAAUACAAAUGAGCCAUUCUUCUUUUUUUUUUUAAAUAGCUGAAUAGAUCUGAGCUACGUGUUUUUGCCUAAAUAACCCAUGCCAUAACUUCUCUGCAACUUCGAUCGUUUAGUUCUCCUCUCGAUUUUCCAUCGCCACUCUCUCUUCUUCGCUUACCUUUUAAUGCAGCUUUGAUUCGUCUCCAUCUCCACCGCAGCUUCGAUAUGAACGAAGGAGCACCACCCCCACCAUCAAACUGCGAUCUUUCCCCAUAUAUAGACAACAUACGCGGCAACGAUGGAGCACCACCGCCACCAUCUCCAUCUCCAUCUCCAUCUCUGCCGCUGGUAACCGCCAUCUUUUCCUACCUCCUUUCUUGGGUGAGUCCCUUCAAGUCCUAUUUUUUUAAUUUUAUGGAAUUUCGAAUUGAUUUGGGUAUUUUUGAAACUCUUAACUAUUUUAGGGAUCUAAUGAGUGAAAAAUUGGGGAUUGAAAUUGUAUUUUGGAAAAUUAACUUAUCGAGAUGUACAUUAUAUAAUAUUUUGGAACAUCUAAUUGAUUUGGAAGGUGAGUUUAGUUUUAAAUUUAAUUGGGUAUACUUUUUUACUUAGUUUGGUAAUGGAAGAAUAUUGGAUAGUAGUGCAACAAUGUGUAUUUAAGCUAUGCAAAUGUCUUCAACCCACGAUCCAUUUUACAUUGUAAAGGAGGAGAUUCAAGAUUCUGCAAGUUCAUUCCAAAUUCCUACUAUUUCAAACUUUAACUUUUAAAUUGAAAGGUUUAAUCUAUAGAGUGGUGCAUCACAUUAAGGGCCUAAAGGUAUGAAAACUGCAAAUUACUGUAUGUUAUUCUUAGAUUGCAAAAAUAAGAGAGGGAAUUUCUACUUUAUUCUCUCGUUCAGUUUCUAGUCUUGGCUGCCUUGCCUGAUCAUGUGUAUAGGUUCUCAACUAAUUCACUUAUAUUUGUUUAUCGAAAAUGACCAAGUAAUUGCAAUCUUAAAAUUUUAAAUCCUUAGGAUCUAAUAAUAUUAGUACUCUAGUUUUGUUGAGUUUUGCUGUACUACAAUAGUUUUACUAGAUUUCUUAAUUUAUCAUAAAUUAUAUAGCAUGCAUUAAUUCAUGUUUACUACAAAUCUGGAUUGCAUUUCAUAAAAACUUUAAUAAAGAAACGGAAAACUUGAAAUUUAUUUUUUGGAACAGGGAAUAGUUUCUAACUCUUCUUUUUUCCCAUUCAUCUAUAUGUCAGAGCUUUACUGGAAAAAGGUAACUUACACGACCAUUGUAUUGAUUAAGCAACUAAUAUAUUUCUAUGAUGAUUAAACAUGCUGCAUAUUUGAAUUCAUAAGUGUUGAAUUUUAUAUUUGAAUUGAGGCGAGAUGAUAGAAGAGGGAGCUUUAGCUUUGAAGAUGUACUUGAAAAAACUCUCAUAAUUAUGCUGGUUUUGAUGAAAUUUGGGUUUUGUUUCUUAGCUCCUUGAUAUGUAUAUGCUUAUGGAUGCUAUUUCAAGUUUGGAAGAGCAUAUGCUUUAUUGUGUAUACUGAAUCACAAGUUUUCUUAUGUAGUUAUAAUUUGGUUGGCCAGUUGGUUGAUAUCAAUUUAGGAAAUCGUUGGUUUUGAUGUGUAAAUGAGUGUUAUAUGGUGCUCAAAACAAUUAUUAUAUCUAUAUCUACUUAUGUAAAGGUUUUCAACAAUUUCCAUCGUGGUUAGUGAUUGCAGGCAAUAUCUAUAUAUUCUUUUUAGUAAGAACAAUAGAAAUUUUAUGCAGAGGUCUAGUAAUUAGUAAGGGGGUGCAACUUGUGUUCUUGCAAAACCCAGUCAACUUGGGAUACGCUUGAUUUUUCUACAUUGUAAUGUAUUAUGUAUUUUUGCUAUGACUGAAUGUAAUAUGGGCAGAAAUCAAUCAUUUAUAAGAUUCGUAAUAAGACUGUCAGUUCUUUUCAUAGAAAAAUGAAAUAUUAAAAUUUGAUAGUGAUUUUGUAGUUGGAGAGUGUUCUGAUUUUAGUAACUUGUAAGCGAGCUAAGCUUUAAGAUGAUGGUAAGUGUUACUCUAAACUUGUCAAAAUAAAAAUUAAAAACAUUGAAGAGAAAAAAGUAUAGUGAUGCUCUAUCAAAAUUAUGGUUACAUAUUGAGUGAAUCUCAUACUUUCUUAAAUGAUAUAUGAUAUUUUAAGUUUCAUGGUCAGAAUGACAAUUUUCUUUAAUAUUUACUUGAAUGAAUUUGUGAAUGAUCUUAUAAUCGUAGUCUUUACUUUUAACUACUUAACAUGACAUUCUUUUGAACAUUGUUGUCUAGUUUGUGGAGCUACCUGCAACUUCCACUUGUGAGAUGAUAAUCUUGCAUUGAAGCCACAAGAUAUCUGUAAAGGCGGUUGAUCUCUUUUCUUUCUGGUGCUUUAAAUUUAGUUUACUUGGAAAACAAUGGUGUUGUCGAUCUUUUUGACAAUUGAAAUUGGCCGUCAGUCUUGAGUUUACUUUACCGUUCCUAUUUGCUAUGACCAGGCCAAGUAAUAAUGAUCAUUGAUGUAUUUAUAAAUGGACUACUUUCAUUUGUCAUGAAUCAUUGCUGCACUUUGUUUGCAAAGGUGAUUAUUUUCUGCACUUGAGAAACUCGAGUAGCAGAAAUGAAUCUCAUCCUUUUUGCUUGAUAUGCAUGGUAGGAAGUAAUAUGAAAAAAAUGCGUUAUAGUUGGUUUCUAUCCUUUGUAAAUUGUAACCAAAAUGAAUCUCAUACUUUUUCCUUUUUGCUUGAUAUGUCAUGUAUUUUUCUAUGGGAAAUUUCCUUUAGGAACCAAAAUGAAUUGAUUUCGGUUGCCUUUUGUUAGGAAACCGUAUAUGGUUAUGAUACUC